rnacentral:lncRNA from 1 species
GGACGAGUCUGUCAGACGGCCGCCUGACCAUCCCAACCGGGUUAACCGGCCAAGAACGAUCCUCUACUGCUCUAAUGACUUCAAACUGGAGCCAGAGAGCCGUUAAUCACGCUCCGAUCAGGCGGGAAUAUGUCAUCCACCAAACUUGGUUUCCUGUCUCCUUAGAACUCAAGGAUACAAAUGUACAACCUAUAGAACAGAUCCUGUUCAAGUAAGAUCGUGUGCAAUGUCAUUGAAUUUCUACUAUUUAUAGCGGUUUAAUUAUUGCUAAUCAUCCGAUGUGGGAUUCGCUAUUACCUUUGAAGCCAUUGUUUAACAUUCACUUCUAUCAGUAUCUUUCUGUGUUUCUUCGAGAAAUCAGCGGACAAAUAAGUAUAUUGCUACAUAAGUUCGAGUUUUCCAUUUUGGAUUUAUCUUCCUAAAUUUGAAAAAAAAAAUUCACUUCUUUGCUAUGGCUAGCUCGAUUAUCGCUUUCCGUUCCUUCUUUAUUAAUCCAUGUUUAAAACCUUAUUAUUCUUGCAAGAACCUUAAAACUCUGAAACAAAUCCAUGCUUCCAUUAUAGUAUCCAGUGGGCAUGAAUUACCCUUACAAUUGAUUCAAAGUUGGUAUCUUUAUAUAUUGAACUGAAUGUUGUUGAUAAUUCUGUUUCUGUGCUAAGUGUUGGUAUGAACACGAUGAGCUCAUAGC